GGAGCCGGAAAGGGGUACUGCUGUAAGGGUGGCGCCUGGCUUAGUCGCCCCUGAUCUCCAGGACUGCAGAUGCCUCGCCGGCGCGAUCACUGAACACAAUUCCAUUCACAUUCGCCUUACGUGGUCACUUUCCCAGCAGUAAGCUCAAAAUCAGUGGAGACGCCCCCACACUACCUGCCCCUACCAAAGCCAGUACGAAGGGGUGAGGUGAGGUGGUGGCCGCCUCGCCUAGCCUUCCCAACUCAAACUCCGCUUCUCUUGCCUAGAGUCCAGCGCCUGGGGCACGGGAGGGUUAAACUCCCGGUGGGGUAAGGAUUCCAGAGCGGUAGGAAGAAAGAGGGAGGGGAGAGGAGGCACGAGGAGGAGCUGGCCAGAAUCAAGCCUCGGAGCCGUUGGAGACUGGGGUGUCACAGGCCAUCAGGCAGCCACUGUGGCACACGCUGCACUAAACUUCAAGUCGGGAGCAAGGGAGAGACGCGGGGCAUCAAGACCAGGGGUGGGGGAGGGGAGGGAGGCAGCCACCUCUAUCUCUUCUGGCGUUUUCCCAGGCGCUUCAGUCCCUCCUCCGGGCACCAUAUUGCCUGUGGUGCAGGAUGAGGCCCAGAGGCGGCCCCACAGCAACCUCGGAGUCCGAGUUGGCUGACGUGCCCCUGGGUCAGCCGCGUUGGGCCUGCCCGGCUGACGUGCGGCUCAGCUUGGUGCUGGGCGCUGGCCCGCCGCGCCUCGAGUGUUAGUUCCGAAACCGAGAAUUUCCGCGCCAUAGGAGCACGGCCCAAGCUCAGCAUAAGCCUGGCAGGCGUGUGCACCAUCAGCAAGCGCAAAAGGACACGCACCAGCGAAAGCCUGAUUGUCUACACGCGCAACUGUAGCCUGGGCGUGGCAGCGGCUAGCAAGGCGGAACAGCAGGCGUCGUACAAUGCCCUACUGGAAGUGCAGAAGUGCAGCCUGCUGCCACUGAUCCCGGUUCCCAUGAGGAUCCCAGGACCUGGAUCUUCACUCUGUUUCAGGACAUCUGGCCUGUGACACUGCAGCCUAAGGGGCUGGGGCAGACACAAAGCCUGGGCGCUGGUGGCUACCGCCUGUGCCUGGGUUCAGGGGUACUAAGCCUGAAGUGAAAGCCCAGGGGCAGAGGUUCUGGGGACAUCCAGGCAUUGCCACUGCCAGCCUUAAGCCUGUCCCUGCUCAGCGUACGCCGCUGUGGCCACACAGACUCCUUCUUCUUCCUGGAGCUGAGCCACUCAGCACCCAUGAGUCCCAGGGAGCUGUGGCUACAGGCGCCUGAUGCCUUGGUGGCCCAAAGCAUUCACAAGACUGUCCUGGCGGCCAUGAAGCGACUAGGGGAUAGUGAUGCCAGUCGCAGGGCUAAACCACUGCCAAUGGAUCCUCCGAGUAGCUCCUCUAGACCCUCCUCUGUCCCCUAAUCUUAUGAGAUCCAGGCCUCUGAGGCCCAGUCAGCCACCCUGAGCCGUUGGAGGUGCCUGGGUGAGAGGAGCCAGCAAGCAUCUCUGGGGAUGGCAGCCUCAUACCCUGAGGGGCUGGAGCAGGGCGGGGACCACACAUCUAUGGGAGCUGAGAGUGAUUAGAGCCCAUGAGAGGUGGCGAAGCAGGAAGCUACAUGACAAUGGCGCCCAACCCCCCUCCUACUAAUGCCAAUGCUGCUCCCCACCAUCUGCUCCAGGAUUGUGGGGGCACUGAAUAUGUACCCAUUAGCCACUUUCUGCCAGAGUUUUCCUUGGGGUCCUUACCCCAUUCCUACAAGUCUGGGGCUUGAAAGCCUGGACAUGGGCUCCAAGGCCCCCAUCAAGAGCAUUGGGGCCAGCUGGGGGCCAGCAAGGGCUCAGCCCCGCUUGCAGCCACCAUCAGAGCUAGCAAGGGAAUAUGUGUGCAGCAAGUACGCGGCUUCAGACUACGUAAGAAUGGACACUGCCAUACAAAAUCGCCUGGAUGGCCACUUCAGCUACGUUGACUUGAACCUGAUCUCUCCUCUGGAGGCAAGAGGCCACGCCUGAGGGCCCAGCACGCAUCAUCCACACAGCUAUACCCAAAUCAAGUUUCGGAAGUUCAGAGAGGCAUGGGUGAGAGCCUGCCCAUUCUAGCUGAGGGAUGGAUAGAGGCAGGGAAGAAAAAACAGGGCAAAGUUAGGAAUGCCUUCCCACCUGCUUCAGCCACUGAGGGGCUCUAAGGCCCAAACACUCCCUAGGAUUUGUGACCUGAGAAGUGCUGAGUUGCUUCUUAGAGCCUGCUGCCCACUCUGCCCCUUCCAGCUGUGGUGCCUGGGAAAUCUUGAGGAGGUUCCCAAGAUGUUGGAUUCUUUUAAAAUUCUAGAACUCCUACUUCCAAAAAUAAAACCCCUAAAAAUGUC